CUGAAAUUCCUGGCCCUAGAGCUGUGUUCCUGCUGUUCCAGGAUGGAGGUGCUUUGGUGCCUCGGCUCUGUGGCUGAUUCCUGGGUUUAUUUGGCUGCUGGCACAGAGGGAAUCAGUUCUGUGUUCCCCCGAGGAACAGAGAAUUCCCAGCACAAAUAAGUGAAGGAAGAAGGAGAACAGCUUGUGCUGCCCCCAGCACCUCUCCAGGCUCUGAGGAUGGUUUUCUUCCUUCCCAAGGCCCAUGCAGCAAUAAAUUGCCCUGCAGUAUCAUGGGAAUGGUUAACCUUGAUUUGAGUUCAUGUACCACCUCCUUCCCUGCAAGGUCGAAUUCCAAAUAAUCCUUUGGAGAGGAACGAAAUAAAGUCGGGGCUGCUCUCUGGGCUACAAA